UGCCCACAUCGCGUUGAAACACCCAUUCCCAUAUGAUCACCGAAGUUAAGUAACAUCAAACCUGGUGCGUAUCUAGAUGGGUGACUGCUUGGGAAUACCAGGCGCUGUAA